UGCGGCCCCUUUUCUUUACCUCGCAGGCCCGGUACUGUCCUAGUUGGAGGCUGUCCUGCGUCUUGCACCGCUUCUCUUUUUCGAUUUGAGGCUGGAGGUCCGUCUGGAUCUGUCCAUGGCGACUCCCGCAGCGACGGCACCGGCGUUGGCCUCUGGAUCGAUGGGGACGGCAAGCGAUUCCGUGGUACGCGGCGUGCCGUUCGUUUCCGGCAUCGCCGGUCCCGCCGUGGCCGACUCUGUCGUAGGCGUAGAGUCGCCGGAGACACCAGCGGUGAAUUAGGUCCCGCCGGCUCGCGGUCUGGUUGGCGACCUGUCUGAUGUCGAGCUGUCGGGCGAGUCCCGCACGACGUUGCGUCGGCUGGCGGAGGUGUGGCGUCGGCAGGCGCCUUUGUUUUGUUUUUCGGCUGAAAAAAGUGGAUUUCGGUCGAAUUUCGGCCAUCUCGGCCUGGGGCGAAAAGUAUUUUUAAACCGAAAUUGCUUAAAUUUGGUAAAUUUUGAUUAAAUUUAAGUCAAAUUGUAGUCAAAUUUCAGCCGAAGAUUUUAAAAAUGGCCGAAAUUCAGCCAUCUCGACCUAGGGCAAAAAAAUCUCAAACCGAAAAUCAAAACACAGGCAGGCGCCGGUGACAGGGCGCGCAUCGUUGACUCGUGCAGCGCAGUUUAGUCCUUCAGCCGCAGUGCUCCGGCGGCCGCGAGCACUACUAUCUGCGUUGGCUGGAAGCGCGGGUAGCCCCUCCAUCUUGGUUGACUGAGACGAGCACUUUUUUCUCUUUCUUUUCUGAAUGGGUGCUUAGAGCUACAACUAAUCUCUGCCACACUACCAAAGUAGUUCUCGCUUGAUUUAUUUUCAGGGGAACCCCAUGAAUUGCUACAACUAGUAAGUACUAUUGCUAUUGCAGGAGUAGGAUUCUCUGGACGAUUUUUUCAUAUGAAAUCGCUGGCAGAGGCGUACGAAUUCUACAAUUUGUAUUCAUGGGAGGUGAGCAGGCAGAAUGUCAACGGGACCAAAUGCAUGUAGGAGAUCGUGUGCGGCUGCGCCGUGAGUCCCUUUUUCUCUUUUCAGUUUUGUGUUGGGUGCGAUUGUGCGAUUUUGUUAUGUGCAAAGGAACUGAAGUAGUUGUCAAAUUUUAUGAUUUGAAAACAAGUGCAGGGUAAACCAAAGAGGAAGAACAGUUCAUCGUUGAGGAACAAUUGCGUCGCCAUGAUUUGUCUACACCGGACAGAUGAUGUGGGGUGGUAUAUAUGCCUCGGAAAAUCAUGCUUCUCACAAACAUGAUCUGCUUAGGCUGGCCAUAGUGGGGUAACAUACAUUUGGGACUAGCAAACAUGCUUAUGUGACACAUAAUUAAAAAAGAGAGGGAGGAUUAGAGUAACAUAGGUAGAUACCGUAUCUCUACUCUUAAUGAAGCAGUUGGUAGUCUUCGCCGGUCAAUUUUCGUCCCACCACUUUCGUCCGGUUUUUUUUCGCCGGUUAACCUUCGUAGAUUUUUUUGGUUCCGUCCACCACCUCCCCUCCGCUGGUUUUAGCGUCGCGACAGAACCAAUCGCUAGCCCUACCACCUCUCCCGUCUCCAGUCGCAGCCGCCGCUGCCGCCGCACCCCAAUCCAACCCCGCCGCCGGCGAUCUCCUCGCCCCCCUGUGCCGUCGCCCCCAACCUUCUAUUCCUCUCCCAAGGGAAGGGAAGGGAAGGCAAGGCAAGGGAAGGGAGAGGGAGCGCCCAGAUCCACGGCGGCAUCAGCGCGCCGUCCUCGACCUGAUCCGCGUCCGUCCACGGAUGGGAGCUAAUCGGCGCAGGAAAUCCCCGUCCCCGCGUCCGAGCCCCGCCACCCUCCGCAACGGCUCGACCGCCCAUCGACGCGCUGCCCCCGCGGCGCCCGACUAGUUCGGCUCUCGCGGCUGGUGGACGCGCCCUUGCUGUUGCCGACGCCGGCUCGCUGCGCCGCACUGGCCCUCACAAGCGUCUUCUGUCAAUGAUGGACUUGAGAGGUCAAGGAGUUUCCAUUGGGACAUCGGGACAUGCUCCUCCAUCUCCUCCGGUGGACGACAUCCAACAUCGCCAGGUAGAUUACUGUUUUUGCAAAUUCCAGUUCUUGAUGUUUAAAACUGGAUGAUCUGCACCCAACCCCUCUAUUGUUCUAUUUCUGCUUAAAUCUGAUUUGGUUGUUCAGUUCAUGCACUUAUGGACUGAAGAAAAAAAAUGGAAAUGAAGAAGAAAAGAAUAGCAAUAUUAUCAUAUGCGAGGUUUGCUUUUAACCUUGGUUCCUAACCAAUAUUUGCUUCAUAAUUCUGCCGAGAGAUUCACACUGUCAUUCAUAUUAUGAAUAUAGUUCAUAACCAGUAUUCUCUUUUAUCUAAUUAUAUGUACAGAAAGGAGUAAUCUGAAGUGAAUUCAUGCUAUGUUAACAGUCUAACAAACAUCUUGGAGGUGUGAAUGCUUUCUUGGGUCUGACAAGUAAUCAAUAAUUGAUGGUAUACUGGGAUUUUUCUCAUACUUCUAGCACUUCCUCAUUGACAAUAAAGCAAGUAGUAUCACAACAAAGGCUAUCCAGGUAUUUUUUUUCAACUAUAAUCCUUCCAGCUUUAGGGACUGCUCAAUUGGAUCUGCACAAUCCAACAAAAUAAAUGUGCAUAGUGUCUGCGACACUUUCAUCCGAUCAUCACGAAGGUAGUUGUAGGAGUAAAAAAGUAUGUCAUACUGUUUUUUCAGUUCAAGCCAAAAGGCUAGGACAGGUAAUACUUGUUUUUACAGUACUUGUGCAAAAAGUAUGUCAUACUGUUUGCUCUAGAUGAUUUUGAUGAAUUUUACAACCUUAUUUUCAGUUGUUUACCCCAAGAAAUGGUCUGCUUUCAUGGGGUUUAUUGAAUCCAGGAAAGAACUGUGAGUAGUAGCGAACCAGACAUGAAAAGUUUCAGAGAACUACGAAAACUCCGGUCAGUUUUGUCGGGAUCUUGUGACACAGUUCCAGGACUCUAUUGACUAAGGAAAUGAUAUAUAUGUGUGAUUUAUCCUGUUAAAACUUUUAGUGUUCACUUAGGGGUGAGUGCAACCAGUAACUGAAUUUAGACUACGAACUAGAGUAUGACAGUAAAGUCAGGAGCAUGAUGGAGAACACACGGGACAUUGAGGACUAAUGGUCAACACUUAAAUCUUGCUUUACAUACAGUUCAGUUCCAAGUAGUCUGAUACAUAGAUGGCGAGGGGAGUGCUGAUUUGGGGUUGAUUUUGGUAAUUAUAUAUUUUCCUUGAUGACUGUCAUUUUGUUGUCCUACAUGUGCUAUAUGAUAUGCAUAACAACUUGAGAGCACCUUUGCUUCUCUUGAUGUGCUUCGUCAUACAGUUUUUUAAAGUGCACAAGCAAGCUUGCGAGUGAUGACAACUACUAUGACCUACAACCUUGAAUCUAGGUUUUUGGGGUUGAACAUAGGGGCACAGCGCGCUCUCCCAUCUAACCAGUGAAGCGUAAUGAAGGAAAAGCUACAAUAUACAAAUCGUCACCGUCAUUCAGUUUGUCCAAAACUGAGAAAAGCUCUUUAAAAAAACUGGGAAAAGCUCACGUGAUGGAAUGAGAUGAGAUUUCAACAUCAUGAUUGCGUUUUAUAAUUUGAACGACCAAAGUAGAUGGUCCCGUCAGCCCGUGUUUGACAAUAUGAAGGGACAAACUUGUUGAUCCAUUAUUUUGCCAGGAAAAUACAAUAAUUCGGAGGGCUUAAAUAUGGAUAAUAGAUCUGACAUAAUCUAGCAAGGUGAGUGACUCAAUUGCACAUGUGCAAAAUGGAAGUUUAAACUUCCUUGAAUCUCUUGUAGGGUUUGGGGGAGAUUGUCAGCGAGCCACUGAUGAAAGUCCUUUUGCGAUGACAAUGCUAGAGAAGAUUUGAAAGAUCUUGGUUGGCGUGGGGCAACUUGUGUAUUCCUGGAUGGGGGCGCCGUCCGGUGGCAGUGGGGUGUGGCAGUUGCCGCAGCUGGGCACAACCGGGAGUCCACCUAUCCAGAACACCCAACUAUUUCAUCCGGUGAACUGCGAAGAGCUUCUGUAAUUAGCACAAAUCUGAAAGCAUAUAUGCAGCUCCCAGAUGUUGCAGGCUAGAGGAAGGGCAGGCACUCAUGCGAUACCAUGUAUCUGGUAGUGGUUUCGUUCCCCAGACGCUAUGCAUUUAUUGUCUGGUUGGACGCGCCGGGUGUGGGGACACUGCAGGACAUGUUUGAUUAUCAUGUCAGUGAAUUCUGGCGAGAAUGAACCAAGUGAGCUUUUGUAGCUGGUCUAUUCAAAAUGGAUGAACGGACCAGUUAGUGUACAUAUAAGUUUGCACUCUGUCUUCCUGCUCAUUCGUGCAAUGUGUUCAUGGGAGACUUAUUUUAGGAAAACAUAAAAUAAUUUUUCUUUCUGUGCGUACUACUCCAGCUUUCAAGUGCCAGGCUUCAAUAAAUCUGAAAUUUCUAUCGCUC